UACGUAGGGGGCGAGCGUUGUCCGGAUUUAUUGGGCGUAAAGAGCUCGUAGGCGGUUUGGCAAGUCGGGUGUGAAAACUCCGGGCUCAACUCGGAGACGCCACUCGAUACUGCCAUGACUCGAGUCCGGUAGGGGAGUGCGGAAUUCCCGGUGUAGCGGUGAAAUGCGCAGAUAUCGGGAGGAACACCAAUGGCGAAGGCAGCUCGCUGGGACGUUACUGACGCUGAGACGCGAAAGCGUGGGGAGCAAACAGG
rnacentral:rRNA from 1 species